AGUCUUGUUGACUUAUUUCCAUGCCCCUGUAUCACCUGAUCCUAACGUACAGUAUCUUCCGCCAUGGACCGUCUUUCAAGCUCGUUGAGAGUCCAUUACCACCACUUGUACUCUCCGUUUUCUAUUUAUCUCUACCUCUCUCUGGUGAUUGCUAACCAAUCCUCCCAUCACCUUUAUUUGACACAGAAUAUAUGUGCAAGCAUGCACGCGAGCGAGCACACACACAGAGAGCAAAAAUAUGCUACAGAAUAAGUUGGACACACUCUUACAAGUAAAAUAUGCUACAGUAUUGUGAACAACUGAACAUUGUUGCAGUACAAUACUUUACAUUAGUGUGAACUGUAAUCCCAACUUUGAGAAAAAAGGAAGAAACCAACAAAGAAAAGAAAGACUCCGGCGUCAAGCAACAUGUACAGAAUGUUUUUUUUAUAGAAAAUGCCCAUUGGGCGGGGUAUUAGUGGGAAUAUCUGAAAAGUUUGUUUAGUAAUGUUACUUGUUAAAGAGGUGAAGCGUAUGGGAAAAAUGAAGAUGACUAAAAUUUGAUGUGAUUUAAAUUUUUAACUAUUUGGUGUUAAGAGAAUUGGCAUGGAGAGCUAUGAUUCUCUAUUUUAUGUUCGUUAAUAUGAUUAACAUUAGUGUUCGGAGUGAAGAGUUCCUGAUGCCAGCAAGGUUUGGGAACUUUCAUGUUCUUAAAGCUGUUACACCCAUGCUGUAGGAAUAAUUAAUGGGGUAAACUUAUCAUGUUGUUCUUACAAGUAUUUUUUUUCUGUCGUUCAAGAAAUCGUUGAUUUCAUGUGUGCAAGAAGAAUGUAACACGGUAGCUAGGGGAGGGGUAAAUAACUUGAAUUAAGUUACUGAUCUUAUUUAUGAAGUUAAAAGUUUUUAUUUGUUAUGUGGUAUAGAGGUGUCUGUUUUUUUCACAUAAAGUAUUCUGGUUUUUGGAGCUGGGAUCCACAUCCGCAUUUGAUCGUGGCUGAUUCGAUUGCAAAUGCAAAACUGGUUGUUCUUCCGUACUACUGAUAUUCAAAGUUGGAAAGCAAAAACAAUAAUCCUGUGGUAAGUAUGGCACCUAUUGUCCAGCUGGUAUAGCACCUAUUGUCCAGCUGGUUUAGCACUCAACAAUAAACUGGUAAUCUUCCUUGGACAACUGCAUCAAUCUGAUUCUGUUCUCUUUGAUAUCUUUUGUGCAAUUUACUUGAAUCAUAUUCACAACUGUCUUUGCUCACAUUUUUUAGACGUACGUGUGUCCUUUAACAACUAUGUUUUAAUGUACAUGAACAGAUAGUCCCCAUCAAAAAGCAAUCAGCAUUAGCCCCAACAAUCAGGAACAAAGGAUGCUUCUGUACUUGGAACAGAACCAGAGAUUUCAGCUUGCAGUGAAGUUAAAGAUUAAUUAGCAUCGAAAUUUCUUAAUCUUUUUUUUUAAAUGGAAUGCAAGUUAUCAAAGAUUAAUGAUAGUUGUGUAUACAUUCCAUAAAUAAUGAUCAUAAGCUUCCCCA